GAUGAAGAACGCAGCGAAGUGCGAUAAGUAAUGUGAAUUGCAGAAUUCCGUGAAUCAUCGAAUCUUUGAACGCAAAUUGCACUCUCUGGCAACCCGGGGAGUAUGCCUGUUUGAGGGUCAGUGUUAAUAAAAAUCGGGUUCGUUGCAAUUUUUGUGACGUUUCCGGAGUUUGAGUUAUCUUAACUUCGGUUUUUAAGAGGCUUAAAAUUGACCUUUUUUUGUGCAUUUUAGACGUACAUAAAUUUUUUUUUAUUCGCCUAUCCUAAUGCCAAAAUCUAUUAGAUGCGACCAUAUCUUGUGGUUCCGUGUCUAUAAAUUUUUCAUGAUUUGACCUCGAAUCAGGUAGGAACACCCGCUGAACUUAAGCAUAUCAAUAAGCGGAGGA
rnacentral:misc_RNA from 1 species